CCAGCUCUCUCAAGAACUCACUCACUGUUCUGAGGACAGUACCAAGGGGAUGGUACUAAAUCAUUAAUGAGAGAUUCACCUCCAUGAUCCAAUCACAUCCCAGCAGGCCCCAUCUCCAGCACUGGGGAUUACAAUUUGACAUGAGAUUUGGGUGGGAACACAGAUGUAAACCAUAUCAUGCGUAUCUAAGACUUUGAAUAUUAAAUGAAAAGUUGACCUGACAAUAUGUCCCAAGAAACUUUCUCAGUUGUAGGCUGCUAUGAUCUUCUGUCCCAUAUAGUUUCAAACAGGGGCAUUAUAGGUUUUGCUACAGUUUUGCUUCUACUCAAAGCUUUUCCAUCAUCAAUAGUUUGAUCCUCUUUUUUAUUGUUAUUUUUAAAAAUCAGAUUUAAGGCAUUGCACUAAUUGUGCUCCCAACACAUUGAAUUACAUUACGUCUGUGCGAGGUCUUUCCGCUUUAACUGGAAAUCGCUCCUUCCUUUUUAACAUCAUUCCCUCCUGCCUGAUACCUACUCCCCAUAGGUGUUUGUUUUCAUGCAUUUGGUAUGUCUCACUGAAAUAGCACCUUUGGUAAAUAGUGUGAUUUUUCUCAACAAAAUGUGUGUGUGUGUGUGUGUGUGUGUGUUUAAACAUAUGUUUCUUAGGGUAAAGCUGAUGCUGCUAACUGCUAUAUUGCAUUCCAUUCAGGAUAUACAUCUGAUUGGAUUCAGAAACCCUAACAAUAAUGAACAUCUUAAUUGUCCUCAUCCCUCACAACCACCACGACAGAUGUAGACAUUGCAAGGUGAUUAUACUUUAGGGAGAAAAAAUUAGCCUGGUCAGUGUUAUAUUCCCUCUCUGAGAAAAUGAGCACACCAGAAAUGAGCCAAAAUGUAAGGUAAAGGAUGAUAGAGGAUGUGGAAAUGCCAGAAAUUUUAAACAUUAGUUUGUUUUACUUGACAAGAACUCUUUAGUAGCUUCCUGUUCUCAAAAUAAAAACAUUUUUAAGUAUAUACGACUAAGCACUGAAUGAUCUCAUCUUUGCCUAGUUUGCUGGACUCCUCUUGUUGCUUGCUUCUCUGCUUGCUGUACUGAGCUUCAGUGGUCUUACUGCAGUUCCCUGAACAUGUCCUGCUCCUGCUAGGCAGAAUCCUUUCCACUGACUCUUGCCUCUGCCUGGAUACCUCCCCUCACAGAUCAGUAGACACCCACUUUCACCUCUUUCAAUUGCCAGUAAUUCUCCAAUGAACACGUUUUUCUUUAGAAAUAGGCUCCAAUGAAGUCCAGUCCCUAAACAGCCUGUGUUUCCACAGAAACUCUAAAUUCGUUUUUCAAUGAUACUUUUGUCAAUAUCGUUGAAUGAACAAUGUUUAUCAUCAGUGCUUGAUGGGACACUCCAAGAGGCAAGGAACAUACCUGCAUUCGCUCACUAUUUUACCUUCCACCUCCAGUUUGUUACUUAGGAUUUAUGUACUGAAUAAAUACAUGUUGAAGUAACAACUGAAUCAAUUCAAGGAAAAGAAUCAAGGCUUCAGUGACACAAAUGACUAAUGCCACCUUGGAGAAAUACCUCCAAGCUUUUUCUGAAGGAUGAGGAAAAUUGUUCUGGAAAUGUUAUGAUUGGCGUUAAAGGAUAUAGGAGGUGUUUUUAAAGACAGUAAUAUUUAUAAACUUAUUUUCCUACCACCACCCCCAUUAAUUUAUGAAUGUAGAAGCGAAUUCUGUAUGGUCACAGUUCUCUUGUACUAAGUAUCCUUUAUAAUUUUAUCAAAUUCUUCAGCAACCUCUUGACUGUGAAAACCUUCCAUGUUUCUCCAUUUCUUAAGCAGCUUUUUUUGAGAUACAGUUCACAUAUCAAAUAAUUCAUCCAUUUUAAUUGUGUAAUUCAAUGCUUUUAGUAUAUUCACAGAUUUAUACAACCAUUACCACAAUCAGUUUUAGAAUAUUUUCAUUAACUGCAAAAGAAAGCCCAUAUCCAUUAGCCGUCUCUAUUACCUCCACUCUCACUCCAACUCUAGGCUGACACUUGUCUACGUUCUGACUCUUUAAGUUUGCUAUUCUGGACAUUUCCUAUAACUGGAAUCACAUAACACAUGCUUUUUUAAGACUGGCUUUCUUUGCUUAGAUAACGUGUUCAAGGUUAAUCCAUGUCAACAUGUGUAUUGGUGCUUCUAAUUUUAAGAUUGCCAAAUAACAUUCCAUUGUACGAAUUUACCACAUUUUGUUAAUCUAUUAAUCAGUUGAUAGACAUUUGCAUUUUUCCUAUAGUUUGACUAUUCUGAAUAACAAUGUUAAAACAUAUGUGAACAAGUUUUUGUGAACAUGUUUUCAUUUAUCCUGAGUAUAUAUCCAGAAUGCAGUUACUGUGUCAAGAGGUAACACUAUAGUGAAUGUUGUAAGAAAUGACUAGAUUAUUAUCGAAAGUGGCUGUAAAAUUUCAUGUAACCUUAAGCAAUAUCUGAGGGUUCUAAUUUUUCCACAUUUUUGCAAACAUUUAUAACUGUCUCCCUCUAAACAAACAAACAAACAAAAAAAC